GAGUUUGAUUCUGGCUCAGGAUUAACGCUGGCGGUACGUCUAAUACAUGCAAGUCGAACGAAACAUAGUGCUUGCACUAAUGUUUAGUGGCGAACGGGUGAGUAACACGUAGGUAACCUGCCCUUAAGAUGAGGAUAACAGUUAGAAAUGACUGCUAAUACUGAAUAAGGAAUGAAGAUGGCAUCAAAAACAUUUUAAAGGUCCGAAUGGAUCGCUUAAGGAGGGGCCUGCGGCGCAUUAGCUAGUUGGUGAGAUAAUAGCCCACCAAGGCAAUGAUGCGUAGCCGGACUGAGAGGUUGAACGGCCACAUUGGGACUGAGAGACGGCCCAAACUCCUACGGGAGGCAGCAGUAGAGAAUCUUCGGCAAUGGGGGAAACCCUGACCGAGCGAUACCGCGUGAAUGAAGACAUACUUCUAGUACGUAAAAUUCUUUUAUUUAGGAAGAACAUAUUGUAUAGGAAAUGAUAUGAUAUUGACGGUACUAAAUGAAUAAAGCCCC
rnacentral:rRNA from 1 species